rnacentral:rRNA from 1 species
UGAGGAAUAUUGGUCAAUGGACGCAAGUCUGAACCAGCCAAGUAGCGUGCAGGAUGACGGCCCUAUGGGUUGUAAACUGCUUUUAUAUGGGGAUAAAGUGGGGAACGUGUUCCCUUUUGCAGGUACCAUAUGAAUAAGGACCGGCUAAUUCCGUGCCAGCAGCCGCGGUAAUACGGAAGGUUCGGGCGUUAUCCGGAUUUAUUGGGUUUAAAGGGAGCGUAGGCCGUUUGGUAAGCGUGUUGUGAAAUGUAGGAGCUCAACUUCUAGAUUGCAGCGCGAACGGUCAGACUUGAGUGAGCACAACGUAGGCGGAAUUCAUGGUGUAGCGGGGAAAUGCUUAGAUAUCAUGAAGAACUCCGAUUGCGAAGGCAGCUUACGGGAGGGAAACGGACGCUGAAGCUCGAAGGUGCGGGUAUCGAACAGG